rnacentral:rRNA from 1 species
UACGUAGGGCGCAAGCGUUGUCCGGAAUUAUUGGGCGUAAAGAGCUCGUAGGCGGCUUGUUGCGUCAGCUGUGAAAACCCGCAGCUCAACUGUGGGCUUGCAGCUGAUACGGGCAGGCUUGAGUUCGGUAGGGGAGACUGGAAUUCCUGGUGUAGCGGUGAAAUGCGCAGAUAUCAGGAGGAACACCGGUGGCCGAAGGCGGGUCUCUGGGCCGAUACUGACGCUGGAG